rnacentral:rRNA from 1 species
AUCGGAAUGAGUACACUUUAAAUCCUUUAACAAGGAUCCAUUGGAGGGCAAGUCUGGUGCCAGCAGCCGCGGUAAUUCCAGCUCCAAUAGCGUAUAUUAAAGUUGUUGCGGUUAAAAAGCUCGUAGUUGGUUCUGCGUGCCGCGCUGUCGGUUCGCCGCCUGUCGGUGUUACUGGCAUGUCGCGGCAUGUCCUGUCGGUGGUGAAUGAAAUCCCCGGUGCUACGUAGGCUUUUAUAAGCUGAAGUAUGUGCCGUGGUGACUUCAUUUGCCGAUUUCUCCUACUCCGGUGCUCUUAAACGAGUGUCGAGGUAGGCCGACACGUUCACUUUGAACAAAUUAGAGUGCUUAAAGCAGGCUGAAAUAUCUGCCUGAAUAGUGGUGCAUGGAAUAAUAAAAUAGGACCUCGGUUCUAUUUUAUUGGUUUUAGGAAUAUGAGGUAAUGAUCAAUGUGGACUGGCGGGGGCAUUCGUAUUGCGACGUUAGAGGUGAAAUUCUUGGAUCGUCGCAAGACGCACUAGAGCGAAAGCAUUUGCCAAGUAUGUCUUAAUUGAUCAAGAACGAAAGUUAGAGGUUCGAAGGCGAUCAGAUACCGCCCUAGUUCUAACCAUAAACGAUGCCAGCCAGCGAUCCGCCGAUGUUCCUUUAAUGACUCGGCGGGGAGCUUCCACCCGGGAAACCAAAGCUUUUGGGUUCCGGGGGAAGUAUGGUUGCAAAGCUGAAACUUAA